GAGGUCUUUGAGCUGCAUAGCUUAAAGAAGAAAGGUGGCCUCUAUUUAUAAGCUACCGCUAGAAGAUGGGUCUGCGUCUGAUUAGCUAGUUGGCGGGGUAACGGCCCACCAAGGCGACGAUCAGUAGCCGGUCUGAGAGGAUGAACGGCCACACUGGGACUGAGACACGGCCCAGACUCCUACGGGAGGCAGCAGUGGGGAAUCUUCCGCAAUGGACGAAAGUCUGACGGAGCAACGCCGCGUGAGAGAAGAAGGUUUUCGGAUUGUAAAUCUCUGUCUUCUGGGAAGAAUGGUUUCUAUGUAAAUAAUGUAGAGACAUGACGGUACUAGAGGAGGAAGCCACGGCUAACUACGUGCCAGCAGCCGCGGUAAUACGUAGGUGGCAAGCGUUGUCCGGAAUUAUUGGGCGUAAAGCGCGCGCAGGCGGGAAUUUAAGUCUAUCUUAAAAGUUCGGGGCUCAACCCCGUGAUGGGAUAGAAACUGGGUUUCUUGAGUGCAGGAGAGGACAGUGGAAUU
rnacentral:rRNA from 1 species